rnacentral:SRP_RNA from 2 species
GCCGGGUGUGGUGGCGUGCGCCUGUAAUCCCUGCUACUCGGGAGGCUGAGGUGGGAGAAUCAUUUGAACCCAGGAGGCAGAAGUUGCAGUGAGCUGAGAUUGCACCACUGCACUCCAGCCUGGGCAACAGAGUGAGACUCCAUCUCAA